GAGGGUAUGGCGCAGUGGUAGAGCAUGUGCUUAGCAUGCACAAGGUCCUAGGUUCAAUCCCCAGUACCUCCA
rfam:Camelus ferus unplaced genomic scaffold scaffold1399, whole genome shotgun sequence.